CACGUCUCAGCUCAGGUUUCACUACAGAUGUAAUAAAAAGUGUUCCUGACCUUUCUGUCUGCCCGACAGUGGCAGCCAAGAUUGAACCAGCAAAUACCGGA
rnacentral:snoRNA from 1 species